UUAAAUUUAAAAAUAUUAAUUAAUUUAAUUAUGAUAAUUAGAAUUGAAUUAGGAAUAGUAAAUGUAUAAAUACAAAACUACACAAAAAAUCGCAAGUUAAAUUCAUGAAAAAGCAUGAAAAAUCGAAGAAAAACGAAAAAAAUGCGAGUUGUACGGACAGUAUGCAUUGCAUACUGUCCAUGGGCGUGCAACAGGGUGCUUGGGCAUGAAACCUCGGCGCAGGGGAAAUUUUGCAUGAUUUCCGCGCGCGCGCGUGGUUGCCCGAUUCCUGAUUUUUUCCAAAACUUUAAAAAAUCAUAACUAAUUCAAAUUCAAUCGAAAUUGAGUUUUGUAAAAAAGUAAAUUGUUUAAUUUUUUCCAUACUAUCCAAUAAAAAUAAUUCCAGAAACAAAUAUUCAAUUAUUGUUCACGAAAAUUCACAAACAUUAAUCAAUUAUCAUAUAACACUCAAUACAACAUGAUACCAUCCAAAACAUCAAACAAUCGUUUUAAAGUCCAAAUUUAUUGCAAGCAAAUCAUUGCCACGGCUCUGAUACCAGUUGUUGGAUAUUAUUUUACCAGGAGCUUAGAUCUACUCCAAAGUAUGUUGAUUAACACCCUAAAUAUGAACUUUCUAAAACGAUGAAAUAAACACAUAUAAAGUUUAGUAAACCUUACAUUGGGUGCAGCGGAAUAUAAUGACUCCUUCCGUUCAGAUAUCUAGCCCUUGAUUCCUUUCUGUAGCAGAGCAUUAUCAAUAUCUGAACCUGGAUCUCUUUCUCUCAUUCUUUAGUGCUGAAACUCCUUCUUGCUGAAAGUCUUUCUUCAUGAUCUUCCUCACUAUGAUUGAGGUAUCACUUGCUGUGUGUGGGCACUACUCUAACAAUAAGAAUUUCGAAAUCUUUAGGAAGAAGAGAGAGAGGGAGUGGUUAGCCAAAGAUAGGGAGAGAGAGAGGCUCAGUUUUUCUGAAUGAAAAGUCAGAAGAAAAAGUGUAAUUUUCCUGAAGCCUUCACUAUCUAUUUAUAGCAUUCCACUAGGGUUAGGUUUGAAUUAUUUGGCAUUAAAAUAAUGAAAAUAUCAGAGGGAAAACCCUACAAAAGUGGCCGGCCAGGCAAUGUGGAUUUGGGUCUCACUUUUUGCAAUUUUGCAGUUUUAUCUUUUCUGCAUCUAAUUUUCUCAAAAAAGCCAAUUUUCAAAUUCAACCAUUUAAAUGACAAUUCUAACUAUUUAAUAACUGUAAAUAAUUAUUAAAUAAUAUUUUCAUUUAUCAUAUUCAUUAAUUGAACCAUACAAAGUAUCAUAAUUAACAAAUAUGCCCCUAAAACUCUUUCUUUACAAUUUCGCCCUUACUUAGUGAAAAAUUCACAAAUAGACAAAGUCUAAUUUGAGAAUUAUAAUUGAUUAAUCAAAACCAAUUAUAUGAGUCUUACAAGCAAUAUUAUCUCAAGUAGUGGGGGGACCAUGGGUCUAUAUAACCGAGCUUCCAAUAAGCAGAUCAAGAAUUUAUAACCUAAAUUCACUACUUAUUAAUUCUUCGUUGAAUCCACGCAUAGAACUUAGAAUUGCACUCUCAGUAUGUAGAAUGCUCUAUAUGUUCCACCAUAUAGACACAUCAUUAGUUAUCCAUUGUUAUAAUCCUAAUUUGAUCAAUGAUCCUCUAUAUGAAUGAUCUACACUGUAAAGGGAUUAGAUUACCGUUACACCCUACAAUGUAUUUAAUCCAUAAAGCACUUAACCCCGUAUAAAUGAUAUUUCAGCUUAUGUGAAAUGAGAUCUCCACCAUUUAUUUUCGUUUGGUCAAGCUCGAAGGAGAUCAUCCUUUACUUACUAUUCGCUAGAUAGAUACUAUAGAUUCCAUGUUUAUGUUAGCGCUCCCACUCAAUUGCAUUACCGUGUUCCCAAAAUGUACGUAUCACCCUGACCUAAAAGUAGGCUUAACUAACAAAUCAAAGAACACGAAUAGCCUCUUGAGAUUGAACCUAAUCAUAACAGGAUUAAGAUCAUUUGAUCUAGGAUCAACUAGGAGAUAUUGACUUGAAUAGAUAUUACGGUAAGUUUAAUAAAUCUAAGUCAAAGUUCAAUAUCGGUCCCUUCCGAUGCAUACUCCAUGCAUCCAACCUGAGCUUUACUUUAACCAAUGUUCUGGAAAGAACAUAUCAUUUCUCCAAAUGCAAGUAAACUCUGUUGUAGAUUAUCAUAUGAGUAAAACCCUGUGUUUGAUAAAUCUAGGAAACUUUAUUCACAUAGUCAUGUUUACUUUCCAAUGUGUUGACAGCACAAUAAACAGGAUCAAGUAUGUGAAAAGAGUUUCAGAUGAAUUUAUACAUUAUGUACAUAUAAUCAUGAAAUAAAUCAUGUGAACCAUGCAACAUAAAAUGUUAUUUCUGAUCUAUAUUAAUAAGUAAAUCUGAUUAUAUUGAAAUGAGUUUUAUUUAGGGCGUAAAACCCAACAUACAUUGUGUUUUGUUUUUGCAGUUAUGGCUUCAAAGCUGGGGCAAUUCAUCAAGGGAAAGCCUAUAUGUGUCCCUAAACAAGAGUCUCUUUCCAAGUCUGCCCAGAAGGAGGGAUCAAGUUCCUUUGGUCUUCCUCCACCACUUCCUUAUGCUCCUCUGGCCAACGAACUGAUGGUGGGUAGCUUGGACAGGCAUCCUCAUGCUCCUAGGAGGUCCAAUAAAGAAUGUCCGAGAUCUAGCUGGGUAGGAAAAGAAAAGGAUAUUGUCAACAACUACCUAGAUAGGUGCCCAGUCCAAGUGGAUGAGCAAUUGAAGGAUUCAGACAGUGAGCCCAUCGAAACUGUACUUUUGGAGUCUUAAAAGAGUUGUCCUCGUUACCUUGAAGCUUGGGCAUACGUAUGCUCACCUUAAACGGUCUGUUGCAGCCAAUAAGAAGAACCUUGAUGACCUAGACGGCCAGCUUGGCAAGAGUAAUAACAAGAUCUGAGCCUGGAUCUCAUUCUCUCCUUCGGUUUGGUUAACCACCAUCUUUCACACUAUGAUUGAGUACUUGACUUGCUAUGUGUGGGUAUGGUACUCUAUCACUAUGGCUCGAUUGAUGAAGGACCAUGAUAAGGUGUGAAAUCACUAUAGGAGUCUCUCAUCUACUAGUUGUCACAGAAUGAAAACUACGUUUAAUUUGAUUGAAGUAAGUUGUUGGAUGAGAUGAGUGUUGGGUUUUGUACCUUAAAUAAAAUCUAUUUUAAUAUAAUCAGAUUUACUA